GGUCAAGUAGCUCAGUUGGUUAGAGCACUGUCCCCAGAUGGCUGGGACCUGGGUUCAAUUCCCAGCUUGGUCA
rnacentral:tRNA from 1 species